rnacentral:tRNA from 2 species
GCCCUUGUAGCUCAGUUGGUAGAGCACAUCCAUGGUAAGGAUGGGGUCACCGGUUCAAGUCCGGUCAAGGGCU